UGAACGCUAGCUACAGGCUUAACACAUGCAAGUCGAGGGGCAGCAUGGUCUUAGCUUGCUAAGGCCGAUGGCGACCGGCGCACGGGUGAGUAACACGUAUCCAACCUGCCGUCUACUCUUGGACAGCCUUCUGAAAGGAAGAUUAAUACAAGAUGGCAUCAUGAGUCCGCAUGUUCACAUGAUUAAAGGUAUUCCGGUAGACGAUGGGGAUGCGUUCCAUUAGAUAGUAGGCGGGGUAACGGCCCACCUAGUCUUCGAUGGAUAGGGGUUCUGAGAGGAAGGUCCCCCACAUUGGAACUGAGACACGGUCCAAACUCCCACGGGAGGCAGCAGUGAGGAAUAUUGGUCAAUGGGCGAGAGCCUGAACCAGCCAAGUAGCGUGAAGGAUGACUGCCCUAUGGGUUGUAAACUUCUUUUAUAAAGGAAUAAAGUCGGGUAUGGAUACCCGUUUGCAUGUACUUUAUGAAUAAGGAUCGGCUAACUCCGUGCCAGCAGCCGCAGUAAUACGGAGGAUUCGAGCGUUAUCCGGAUUUAUUGGGUUUAAAGGGAGCGUAGAUGGAUGUUUAAGUCAGUUGUGAAAGUUUGCGGCUCAACCGUAAAAUUGCAGUUGAUACUGGAUAUCUUGAGUGCAGUUGAGGCAGGCGGAAUUCGUGGUGUAGCGGUGAAAUGCUUAGAUAUCACGAAGAACUCCGAUUGCGAAGGCAGCCUGCUAAGCUGCAACUGACAUUGAGGCUCGAAAGUGUGGGUAUCAAACAGGAUUAGAUACCCUGGUAGUCCACACGGUAAACGAUGAAUACUCGCUGUUUGCGAUAUACGGCAAGCGGCCAAGCGAAAGCGUUAAGUAUUCCACCUGGGGAGUACGCCGGCAACGGUGAAACUCAAAGGAAUUGACGGGGGCCCGCACAAGCGGAGGAACAUGUGGUUUAAUUCGAUGAUACGCGAGGAACCUUACCCGGGCUUAAAUUGCAGAUGAAUUACGGUGAAAGCCGUAAGCCGCAAGGCAUCUGUGAAGGUGCUGCAUGGUUGUCGUCAGCUCGUGCCGUGAGGUGUCGGCUUAAGUGCCAUAACGAGCGCAACCCUUGUUGUCAGUUACUAACAGGUUCUGCUGAGGACUCUGACAAGACUGCCAUCGUAAGAUGUGAGGAAGGUGGGGAUGACGUCAAAUCAGCACGGCCCUUACGUCCGGGGCUACACACGUGUUACAAUGGGGGGUACAGAGGGCCGCUACCACGCGAGUGGAUGCCAAUCCCAAAAACCUCUCUCAGUUCGGACUGGAGUCUGCAACCCGACUCCACGAAGCUGGAUUCGCUAGUAAUCGCGCAUCAGCCACGGCGCGGUGAAUACGUUCCCGGGCCUUGUACACACCGCCCGUCAAGCCAUGGGAGCCGGGGGUACCUGAAGUGCGUAACCGCGAGGAGCGCCCUAGGGUAAAACUGGUGACUGG
rnacentral:rRNA from 1 species